rnacentral:rRNA from 1 species
UAAUACAGAGGGUGCGAGCGUUAAUCGGAAUUACUGGGCGUAAAGCGUGCGUAGACGGUUAUUUAAGUCGGGUGUGAAAGCCCCGGGCUCAACCUGGGAAUUGCAUUCGAGACUGAAUAGCUAGGGUACGGUAGAGGGAAGCGGAAUUUCCGGUGUAGCGGUGAAAUGCGUAGAUAUCGGAAGGAACAUCAGUGGCGAAAGCGGCUUCCUGGACCAGUACCGACGUUCAGGCACGAAAGCGUGGGGAGCAAACAGGAUUAGAUACCCUGGUAGUCCACGCCAUAAACGAUGAGGACUAGACGUUGGAGGGGUAAGCCUUUCAGUGUCGUAGCUAACGCGCUAAGUCCUCCGCCUGGGGAGUACGGCCGCAAGGUU